UACGUAGGGGGCUAGCGUUGUCCGGAAUCAUUGGGCGUAAAGCGCGUGUAGGCGGUCCGGUAAGUCCGCUGUGAAAGUCGAGGGCUCAACCCUCGAAUGCCGGUGGAUACUGUCGGGCUUGAGUACGGGAGAGGCGAGUGGAAUUCCUGGUGUAGCGGUGAAAUGCGCAGAUAUCAGGAGGAACACCGAUUGCGAAGGCAGCUCGCUGGAACGUUACUGACGCUGAGACGCGAAAGCCAGGGGAGCGAACGGG
rnacentral:rRNA from 1 species